rnacentral:rRNA from 1 species
UACAGAGGGUGCAAGCGUUAUUCGGAAUUACUGGGCGUAAAGAGAGUGUAGGCGGUUUAAUAAGUCUGAUGUGAAAGCCUGGGGCUCAACCUCAGAAGUGCAUUGGAUACUGUUAGACUAGAGUAUUGGAGAGGAAAGCGGAAUUUCUGGUGUAGAGGUGAAAUUCGUAGAUAUCAGAAGGAACAACGAAGGCGAAGGCAGCUUUCUGGACAAUAACUGACGCUCAAGCUCGAAAGCGUGGGUAGCAAACAGG